CCUACGGGGGGCAGCAGUGGGGAAUAUUGGGCAAUGGGCGCAAGCCUGACCCAGCAACGCCGCGUGAAGGAAGAAGGCUUUCGGGUUUUAAACUUCUUUUGUCAGGGACGAAGCAAGUGACGGUACCUGACGAAUAAGCCACGGCUAACUACGUGCCAGCAGCCGCGGUAAUACGUAGGUGGCAAGCGUUAUCCGGAUUUACUGGGUGUAAAGGGCGUGUAGGCGGGACUGCAAGUCAGAUGUGAAAACCACGGGCUCAACCUGUGGCCUGCAUUUGAAACUGUAGUUCUUGAGUACUGGAGAGGCAGACGGAAUUCCUAGUGUAGCGGUGAAAUGCGUAGAGAUUAGGAGGAACACCGGCGGUGAAGGCGGCCUGCUGGACUGAAACUGACGUUGAGGCUCGAAAGCGUGGGGAGCAAACAGGAUUAGAUACCCUGGUAGUC
rnacentral:rRNA from 1 species